GCUUAAUGCAGCAACAUGAACAGUACCAGGGAUAAGAGGCUAAAGUCAAAGGGAAGGACUGUCUAAAUGGCCAUUCUGAAUGCAGUGGAGACUCCACUCCAACCUAAGGAUAUCCUUUUUAUUUUCUGUUACCUGAAGUCUGAAUAAAUCCUACUUCUGCGAUUUUAUUAAGAGAGCAACAACCAAAUGAACAGAUUCAAUAAUUGGAGACAUAUAUACAAAAGGGAAUGAAACAUAUUGUGAUACAUUGCUACGGAGUGCAACGUUCACCAACAUUUUCAGUGUUAUCUUUGAUUCUCCAGGAGAGAUUAAAUGUAUAUCAUUUUUUACUGUCA